rnacentral:rRNA from 1 species
UACACUCCUGCGGGAGGCAGCAGUGGGGAAUAUUGGACAAUGGGCGCAAGCCUGAUCCAGCCAUGCCGCGUGAGUGAUGAAGGCCCUAGGGUUGUAAAGCUCUUUCACCGGUGAAGAUAAUGACGGUAACCGGAGAAGAAGCCCCGGCUAACUUCGUGCCAGCAGCCGCGGUAAUACGAAGGGGGCUAGCGUUGUUCGGAUUUACUGGGCGUAAAGCGCACGUAGGCGGACUAUUAAGUCAGGGGUGAAAUCCCGGGGCUCAACCCCGGAACUGCCUUUGAUACUGGUAGUCUUGAGUUCGAGAGAGGUGAGUGGAAUUCCGAGUGUAGAGGUGAAAUUCGUAGAUAUUCGGAGGAACACCAGUGGCGAAGGCGGCUCACUGGCUCGAUACUGACGCUGAGGUGCGAAAGCGUGGGGAGCAAACAGGAUUAGAUACCCAAGUAGUCCCAUG